rnacentral:rRNA from 1 species
AGCGGCGAACGGUCGCGUAACACGUAAGCAACCUGCCCGAAAGACCGGGAUAACGUUCCGAAAGGGGCGCUAAUACCGGAUGUGACCGCGAGGAGGAUUCUUCUUGCGAUUAAAUCAUUUAUGGCUUUCGGAGGGGCUUGCGGCCUAUCAGCUAGAUGGCGAGGUAACGGCUCACCAUGGCGUCGACGGGUAGCUGGUCUGAGAGGAUGGUCAGCCGGACUGGGACUGAGAUACGGCCCAGACUCCUACGGGGGGCAGCAAUUAGGAAUCUUGCGCAAUGGGCGAAAGCCUGACGCAGCGACGCCGCGUGGAGGAGGAAGGCCUUCGGGUUGUAAACUCCUUUUAGGUGGGAAGAAACAAAUGACGGUACCACCAGAAUAAGCCCCGGCUAACUCCGUGCCAGCAGCCGCGGUAAUACGGAGGGGGCGAGCGUUGUCCGAAGUUACUGGGCGUAAAGCGCGCGUAGGUGGGUUGGCAAGUCCGCUGUGAAAGCCCGGAGCUUAACUCCGGAGGGUCGGUGGAUACUGCCAGUCUUGAAGGUGCUAGGGGGAAGUGGAAUUACCGGUGUAGCGGUGAAAUGCGUAGAUAUCGGUAGGAACACCAGUGGCGAAGGCGGCUUCCUGGGGCAUUCUUGACGCUGAGGCGCGAAAGCUGGGGGAGCGAACGGGAUUAGAUACCCCGGUAGUCCCAGCCCUAAACGAUGGAUACUAGGUGUCAGGGGUAUCGACCCCCUUGGUGCCGCAGCUAACGCAGUAGUAUCCCGCCUGGGAGUACGGCCGCA